rnacentral:tRNA from 1 species
GGGCAAUUAACUCAGCGGGAGAGUGCUACCUUCACAUGGUAGAAGUCACAGGUUCGAACCCUGUAUUGCCCACCA